CCUACGGGAGGCAGCAGUGGGGAAUAUUGCGCAAUGGGCGAAAGCCUGACGCAGCGACGCCGCGUGAGGGAUGAAGGUCUUCGGAUCGUAAACCUCUGUCAGCAGGGAAGAACGGUCACUGUGCUAAUCAGCAGUGAAUUGACGGUACCUGCAAAGGAAGCACCGGCUAACUCCGUGCCAGCAGCCGCGGUAAUACGCAGGGUGCGAGCGUUAAUCGGAAUUACUGGGCGUAAAGCGCUCGUAGGCGGUAUGUCAAGUCAAGGGUGAAAUCCCCGCGCUCAACGUGGGAACUGCCUUUGAAACUAGCAAACUGGUGUGUGUGAGAGGAUAGUGGAAGUCCAGGUGUAGGAGUGAAAUCCGUAGAUAUCGGGAGGAACAUCAGUGGCGAAGGCGACUAUCUGGGACAUAACUGACGCUGAGGAGCGAAAGCGUGGGUAGCAAACAGGAUUAGAUACCCCAGUAGUC
rnacentral:rRNA from 1 species